rnacentral:rRNA from 1 species
UACGGAAGGUGCGAGCGUUGUCCGGAAUCACUGGGCGUAAAGGGCGCGUAGGUGGCGCGGGCAGUCAACGGUGAAAGUUCGGGGCUCAACCCUGAAUCGGCCGUCGAUACUCCCGGGCUUGAGCACUGUAGAGGCAGAUGGAAUUCCGGGUGUAGCGGUGGAAUGCGUAGAGAUCCGGAAGAACACCGGUGGCGAAGGCGGUCUGCUGGGCAGUAGCUGACACUGAGGCGCGACAGCGUGGGGAGCAAACAGG